GGGUAGCUCAGUUGGUUAGAGCGUGGUGCCGAUAACACUGAGGUCGCAGGUUCGAUCCCCGUAAGGGACA